rnacentral:misc_RNA from 1 species
GAGAAUAAAUUGUCUUGGAAAAUCACACAUUAUCUUAUACAAGCACAGUUCAUGUUACACACAGUAGCUAAUAGGCUAUUAAACUGAAAGCUGCAGUUAAACACCGCGAUUUGCGGAUGUAACCAGUCUGACCCUAUCUCCACAGCUGCACCAUCGUACAAUAUAACCUUACAUAUUAGUAGAUCUUGUCGUGUCUCCUAGUUCACUUAGAAAUACCAUAAACACUGCAUACAGUUGGCUAUACAAAUGCGCUGACGCUUUAUCAUUCAUUGAGGAACCUUGUGGUUUCCAACAAUUUUCACUAAACAGUCAGCACAUAAUGUGUUAAGCCAAUCCCAUAUGACACUUAAAUACUGUGUCUAUACAUAUAUAAUUAGUUACAUCCGGGAGAUCAAUAAGGGGACAGCAACAGGAGUGUCCUCACCCAUGACUGGCUGGAACAGAUCCACCUCUCCGUACCGCUCCAGGACACGCAUCCUGCAGUCCUCAGCAGCCAUUAGUCCUGUUGAAUAUGCACCAUGCACAGAACCUGGGUAAUCCAUACUCGUCGCCUCCCCAGCAAAAAAUAUGUUAUCCACCGGUAUCCUCAGCCUUUCAUAGAACUCAUGAGGUUUCCCUACUGCAUCGUAGCUGUAGGAUCCGAGUGAGUUUACAUCUGUACCCCAAUGAGAAACAAGAUGUUGGAUCGGAGUAGUCGCAUUGGGAAGAAUCCUCUGCAGUUGCUUAAAAGCAAAAUUGGCAGCAUCCUCAUCUGAUAGUUUCUCAAUGUCAUGGGCCAGCUGCCCCGCAGGCAUGUAGACUAGGACAGGAUGGCCAGUGGCCUUGUGAAGAUUCAAAAAGUAACUACAUUCAUAUGAGCUCUGAGCAACUACCCCCAAAAACUCAACAUUUGGCCAAAACACCUUUUCAAAGUGCAGAAUAAUCUUGUUUUCAAUCCCUACACCCAGUUCAUUGAUGGCAGCCUCUUUCCAUUCAGGUAAUCUGGGUUCAAACUUUAUCCGGUUCGACUUUAAAACACCAAGAGGAACAGCAACAACAGCAGCAUCAGCUACAAAAGUUCUCCCAUCCUCAACAGUCACUUUCACUCCAUUAUAACGUCUUACUACUUGUGUAACCCUGUGAUCCAAGCGAAUGUCAAGCCCUUUUGCUAGUGUGUUGAUGACAGGACGAUAUCCCCGAACCAUAAGACCAUGCCCACCAGGAAGCAAUUCUUCCUGGUCCCAGUACUUGAGUGAGAUGGAAUCAGCAUCUGCAGCAAACCAGCCUUCCAUUCUGCAAAGGUACCACUGCAACACCUUAUGAGCAAUGCCUUCGAGCCUUAAGUCGGGUCUCCUAUCAAAAACCAUUGAUAUAGCGCGACCAAUAGACAUGUCUUCACUGAAUUCUUGCCUAAUUCUAUCAGUCUCUUUCAAAAUGCUCUCAAAUGUUUCGCCAACCUUAGUCACUAAGUCUUGGGGAACUUGAUUACCAUCCAUGUCAAAAAGAGCAUAGCUCUCUAGAUCAUGGUCAUACAACACAGAA